UACGUAGGGUGCGAGCGUUAAUCGGAAUUACUGGGCGUAAAGCGUGCGCAGGCGGUUCGUUGUGUCGGCGGUGAAAUCCCCGGGCCCAACCUGGGAAUGGCCGUUGAAACUGGCGAACUGGAGUGUGGCAGAGGGGGGUGGAAUUCCGCGUGUAGCAGUGAAAUGCGUAGAGAUGCGGAGGAACACCGAUGGCGAAGGCAGCCCCCUGGGCUGACACUGACGCUCAGGCACGAAAGCGUGGGGAGCGAACCGG
rnacentral:rRNA from 1 species